rnacentral:rRNA from 1 species
UACGGGGGGGCAAGCGUUGUUCGGAAUUACUGGGCGUAAAGGGCUCGUAGGUGGCCAACUAAGUCAGACGUGAAAUCCCCAGGCUCAACUUGGGAACUGCGUCUGAUACUGGAUGGCUUGAAUUCGGGAGAGGGAUGCAGAAUUCCAGGUGUAGCGGUGAAAUGCGUAGAUAUCUGGAGGAAUACCGGUGGCGAAGGCGGCAUCCUGGACCGAUAUUGACACUGAUGAGCGAAAGCUAGGGGAGCAAACGGG